CAGGAUUUCAUACAGAUAUCUAACAUAUAACUUCUGUAAAGAUGAGAUAUUUUCAUACCUUUAAUAAGUAAAAGCAAUUUCAGGUAAUAGAGAGGCAUUGUUGGUUAUUUUGUUUGUGUUUUUUUUUUUUUUUUUUUUUUCUCCAGAGUUUUCUACAAGCUGUCAAGAAGAUUAUUUUGGGUGUUUGAAAUAACAGUAGGAGGCUAGAAUUGAGAAAAGUUUUUAAGCCAUCUUCUUAUAUUAAGCCUAAAGCGUUUGUCUGAAUGGUUUUUGAUCCUCAAUCAAAGGUGUAGAUGUGCAGAAAUCACAAUCAAAAAUCAACGAUUCUCAGGCAGGAAAAGGAAGAAGAAAAAGCCUAAAAGACAUUUGCUUUACUAUCUGGAGUGGCAAAGAAAUGAGAGGAAACAUGCAAAUCCUACUGUGAAAAUUACCUUGCAACCAGAGCUUCAGAAAGCUUUUUCAGCUUUCAGAUGAUUACAGCAUCUGUCUUUGCACGUUGUGUCCUCAAUUUAUAUUCAGUGACAGAAGCAAAAGAAUAUUAAUCAAAGGUUUAACACAACACAAGGAGUGGGGGAAGCAACAACAACAACAAAAAGCAUCUGUGAUUCUGCCCAUGAUCCUUCUGAUUUAAACUAAGAAAAAAUGAAAUUGAACUACAACAGAUAAACAGAGGACAACACUACUUGACAGAGGAAACUCUCAGCUACAAAACACUCUUUUUCAACAUAAUCAACACUAUUCACUAUACGUUUUCUCCAUCAGUGAAAUAGGAAGCUGCAGUUCCCUUCAGGUGCAAGUUUUCUACAGAAUGCAUUUCAGAGACCUCAUCCAAAUGAACACCUAUCAAUCUCCCACUGAUAACAAGAAAACUUUGAAGUAUCCUUCAGUAGAGCAUGAAGAUAGGAAAAGAAAGUAGGUUUGGAGGUUUUUGUUUUUUUGUUACUUUUGUUUUCCAGAAUAGAUUUGAUAGCUGACAUCUCAGAUACAGUGGACUUGUUAUUUUGAUGAAUACAGCAAUUAACCUGUAGUAUUUUGGAAAUACAUAUACUUACGUGAAAUGGAUGAAAUUUGCUUACACUUACUAUUCUUAAUUGAACAUAAUAAUUACAAGUAUUUCUAGUAUGCAUGUGUAGGAAAAGGAGAUGGCAAAUAACCAGUUCUAAAUUCCCCAAAAAAGAGCAAAAGUCACAAUCCAGUUUAAGAAAGAUAGAUAUGCUUACCCAUCCCAAGGAUCAGGGCUUGCAAAAUACUCAAAAAACAAACAAGCAAAAAAAUACACGUGCACGUACGCACACGCAUGCACGCACACACACACACACACAUACACAAAAAAAAAAAAAAAAAAAAAAAAAGACAGUCUCAACGCUAUCAGCCUUUAAUGAGGUUUAGGGAGGGGUGGAAUCCCUUCUAGUCACACAGGUGAAUUGCUUUUACCUGUGGUCCCAGGGCUGGCUGUGUCCCUUUAUCAGGUGCUCAAUCAUUGGUUCUGGCCAUGACUUAGUAAUUCCCAUAUAGUGUGUAAAUCACAUUUGAAUAAUGCAGAAUCCUUCCUUUAGUUAGUAUAUAUUACUAAUUAAUUUGAAGUGAGACUUUUGUCCAUAAAUACAUAAUUAAUGUAACAAUAAAAUAUGCCUAACUUUUGUCUCUUAAAAAAUUAUGCAUUGCCAUGGUUUGUAAGUAAGUAUUAAACAUAUGCAUAGAAAUGAAGAACUGUUAUAAGCAUGAAUUUCCUAUAUGCACAUGUGUUUGUAUGUAAGGAUAGAGCAUUAGAUAAUUCUGAACGAAAAUGUCCUAAUCAAUCCUAAAUUGAGGACUACACAGAGGAAAUAAAGAGCAAAGGUAGGUGCUCUAUAUUCUUUAUUUUUCUAAGAUCUCAGUAACAACCUAGCUAUACCAGGAAUACUUGCCUUCACACAAAAAGCUUGCCCUUGAAACUUUGUGAAAUCUCAUGUCAUCAUCUUGUUUACUUCCCCUCCCAUGCCACCUCCCAGUGAAAUUAACAAAAAGAUGAUUUUCUGAAUUGUAGAGUGUAAAUUCAACCUGCUUCCUGCUUUAGGUUUGCAGAUUCUUUUCUGCACCUGUUUUUCUCAACCAAAGUAGUAGUUUACUGUUUAUAGCUGUGUGGCACAUACAUUGCUUCUGCAAGGGAGGAUUAGUAAAACCAGUUGAUAGUGCUUUUUGUUUGGUAGGUUUUUUCAUCUUCAUUAUUCUUGUAUCUACUUUGAGCUUGUGCCAGAAGUGUACAAUAGAGUUAUAUGCUUGUCAGACAAACUACUAUAGUAAUUUGUGAAACAGUUCUAAGCAGGAUUAUCAAACUAGGACUUGUGACUAAAUCUUUAAGUACUGUUUUACUUGUAUUAGCCAGUAAAAUCAGGAAUUAUGCUUUAUGAGAGUAGAUUCAAUUCUGGUGAGAUGAAUCCUGGUGUUUACUUCAGAAGGUUCACUGCCUUUUUAUAAGUAUCCGUUCAACAUAUUUGAAGCAUUUAAAAUCAUUUCCUUCCCUUUAGAAAUACACUUUGCUGCUGAAUUCUCUUAUUCAGAAGUCAAUUUAUGUAAAUGACUAUUCUGUAUGGUAGAGAUAAAACAAAACAAACAAACAGUUUCAGACAUUUCUGACAGAAUUUCUAAAUGAAGUAACGAAUAGCUAUAAUGGAAAAUAGAGAAAAAUAAUACAUGCUUACCUUUUAAUUCUUUAAGUUUCACUGUAAGAUCCUGCUUAAAAUUGCAUGAUUGAAUUUCACACCUCUGAAGUUUUAAAUCAUGUUUUUGCUUCUAAAAAAGAUCAAUUACUUGAGCUGAUUUCCAUUUAAGUAAAUACUACUCUUGGGUAGUGUCUCAAUCCUUCUUUGUUUUUGGUUCAAAGCUUGCUUUCUGAGGCAUUUCUUGUGAUAAGACCCUGGCUUAUCUAGGAGAUGAGAGGUAGGUGUUGCUGUGUGGCAGUCAGCAUCACUGUGUGGACAAUUUUACAUUUGAAAGCAUUUCUCUGGAGCUAUUGGCCUUCGGAAGAGAGUGCUCAGGACUGUUUACUGGUGGAACAUAUGGCCUGUGACCAAAUAAUUCCAGCUUGCUAUAGGAUACAAUGAGAUACCACUGUAUCCUGUGAAGGCAAGAUACAAGUUGGCCCCUCCAUACUCCCUCUGAUCUGCUGGGAAGGCCAGGAAGACGGGAACAAAAGGAGUUCCUGCUGAGAUCCAAGAGCCAGAAGCUGUCACUCCAAAAAGAGCUGACUCAACCACUUUGGACUUAUAAAUAAAUUUGUUCUGCCAUUGGAAAGCAUCGCUGUUGUCACCACUGUCACCGUAGAACAGUUGUCAUCAUCAACUGAACAACAGUGCCUGACAACCCACCACUACUGAAGAUCAAUGACUGAACUACAAACCACAUUGGACCCAUGGUGGUGACUAUCUCCAUCUUGCUUCAUAUGAAGACUCCUUGCUUCUAUUUCCUAUGUUUUCU